rnacentral:lncRNA from 10 species
UAUUUUUAGUAGAGACGGGGUUUCACCGUGUUAGCCAGGAUGGUCUCCAUCUCCUGACCUCGUGAUCCGCCCACCUCCGCCUCCCAAAGUGCUGGGAUGGCAGGCGUGAGCCACCGCGCCCGGCUGGGUUGUCCACUUUUAUCUCCUCUUUUCCUUGAUCGUCCUCCCCUUUUUUUCUCCUCUUCCUUUUCCUUAAGCCUUCGCCUGUCAAUCACGUCGAAACACAGUAUUUGACCGGAGCCAGUAUCUUGAUCUGCCUAAAGACAAGACAUUCAAUCGUGAACAGUCGAAUAUUAUUCCUUCCUCAAUUAUACAAAGAAGGCUUCCUGCAGUGAGGACGGCGGGACCAGACAGACACGUGUAUUCACUCUGGUGUUGAGUGACCGGC